rnacentral:rRNA from 1 species
UACAUGGGGUGCAAACGUUGCUCGGAAUUAUUGGGCGUAAAGCGCACGUAGGCGGUUCACUAAGUCGGAUGUGAAAGCCCUCGGCUCAAUCGAGGAAGUGCAUCCGAAACUGGCGAGCUUGAGUACUAAAGAGGGUCGCGGAAUUCCCGGUGUAGAGGUGAAAUUCGUAGAUAUCGGGAGGAACACCGGUGGCGAAGGCGGCGACCUGGGUAGAUACUGACGCUGAGGUGCGAAAGCGUGGGGAGCAAACAGG